AGUAUAAAUUAUUAUCCGGCAGAUGGCCUUUUGUUCCGUUUCAAGAGCACUUUUUCAGUUACACGAAGAUAAGCACAGGUGAGCUAGUGUCCCAUAAGACUCACUCCCCUUGGCUUUUCCCCAUUCGGUAAGCAGGUAAGAAGCUAAGGCCUGCAGGUGAGCUAGUGUCCUAUAAGACUCACUCCCCUUGGCUUUUCCCCAUUCGGUAAGCAGGUAAGAAGCUCAGGCCUGCAGGUGAGUGAAGGGGCUGCUGGGCGUGCUCCGUCCAGCCGGGGCAAAUGUUUUAGCCACUUUUCAUUCUUUUUCUUGUCAUGUAAAUUCAGUUUUCUUACUGUUUAUUAAAAUACUGGAUUUCGGACUUUGUAUGUUGCUUCUCUUUGUGUUUGGUUCGAGCGUUUAUUAUAAACGAGCCGGACAAAGCGAGACGUAACACUGCAUUUGCUUAAACUGGAAGGUUUCUUAAUUUCACUUUAAUUCAGUGAGGCUUUGGACCCAAAACCAGGACGUUUGAUGAGAACUGAACUGCAGGAACUAUUAAGGAUGAGCCCUUUCUGUCAGGGUUCUGUGUCUUCCCCGUUAUUCCUGGUUGGGCCGCCAGAUGGCGGCACCUCUGCUUUGUGUCUUGGUUAAUUGUUUUAUAGGUUUCUAUUAUCCUAUUAUUAGUUGCUGAUUGUCUCGUUCCCUUCCCUCUCUGUGGCCUGAUUGUUCAUUGUGCCCUCCUGUGUCUCGUCUGCGUCAUGUCUAUUUAAGUCUCCCUUCUCCCCUACUCAGGUGCUGGAUCCUUCCUUGCCCUAUGCUUGCUUCUUGUCUUUUGCUCCUUGCCUG